GCAGUGGAGUGCACUUCUGCCGAUGAUGAGACGGUGUCGCUGGACUCCAGAAGGCUUGAGGAUCCAGACACUGUGCAGCCUGAUAAGCAGCCUGGUAACAUAAAUUCACAAACUGUCAGAAGUCUCUACACAAUGCAUCUUAAGAGACAGAUAGAGCUGGCAGAGGGCAAGAUCGAAGUGAACAAGAAAAAGCUGCAGGACAUGAACCUUGAGAUGGAAAUUAAACGCAAGACACUGAGGAAACUGGACUUGGAAAUCCAGAAACUAGAGAGAGAAGUAAGUGAUUUCAGUUCACACUGCAACCAUGACUGCACAAUGUAUUAAUCAUUGUUA